rnacentral:tRNA from 1 species
GCCUCAUUAGCUCAGUGGUUAGAGCACUGGUCUUGUAAACCAGGGGUCCCGAGUUCAAAUCUCUGAUGGGGUU